rnacentral:rRNA from 1 species
CGGACGGGUGAGUAACGCGUAGGUAUCUGUCCUGGGGUGGGGGAUAACAGCGGGAAACUGCUGCUAAUACCGCAUGACACCUGAGGGUCAAAGGCGUGAGUCGCCUUGGGAGGAGCCUGCGUCCGAUUAGCUUGUUGGUGGGGUAACGGCCUACCAAGGCGACGAUCGGUAGCUGGUCUGAGAGGAUGAUCAGCCACAUUGGGACUGAGACACGGCCCAAACUCCUACGGGAGGCAGCAGUGGGGAAUAUUGGACAAUGGGCGCAAGCCUGAUCCAGCAAUGCCGCGUGGAUGAAGAAGGUCUUCGGAUUGUAAAAUCCUUUCGGCGGGGACGAUGAUGACGGUACCCGCAGAAGAAGCCCCGGCUAACUUCGUGCCAGCAGCCGCGGUAAUACGAAGGGGGCUAGCGUUGCUCGGAAUGACUGGGCGUAAAGGGCGCGUAGGCGGUUGUCUUAGUUAGGCGUGAAAUUCCUGGGCUCAACCUGGGGGCUGCGCUUAGUACAGGGCGACUAGAGUUCGGAAGAGGGUCGUGGAAUUCCCAGUGUAGAGGUGAAAUUCGUAGAUAUUGGGAAGAACACCGGUGGCGAAGGCGGCGACCUGGUCCGAUACUGACGCUGAGGCGCGAAAGCGUGGGGAGCAAACAGGAUUAGAUACCCUGGUAGUCCACGCUGUAAACGAUGUGCGCUGGAUGUUGGGUGACCUAGUCACUCAGUGUCGUAGCUAACGCGGUAAGCGCACCGCCUGGGGAGUACGGCCGCAAGGUUGAAACUUAAAGGAAUUGACGG